rnacentral:lncRNA from 1 species
GGUAGUUUUGUCCUCCCACAUUCUUCCUCCAACUCAUGAAUAGUCUAUUUGCUGUCAAUCCAUUAGUGCAUAUCAUACCACCCUUCAUUCUUCUUUAAUCUUCCUCAUUCAAGUGUCAAACCUACACUAACUCUUUGAAUAGAGAACUUAGAAACACUGUACUGUGAUAUCAUGCCAAUCUUGUCUCCAUCAAUACAAAGACUUCUCCAUAUUGUGUUCCCAUCCUACACUAACUAACAAACCUAGUCUUUUUUUCUCACAACAUCAGCCUGUUGAAAUAUCUUUCCUGCCAAUUUUUUUCUUGCAAACUUACAAUUAUUUAAGUGGAACAUUAAUCAUGUCAGCAAGGCCAAUUCAAUAAAAGUAAAAGCAUUUUGUAUAAGAUAGAAAAGACUCUUUACUAUAAUAGAACAUCUUUAAUGAACAAGGAUUCAUUAAUAAAAUAAAGAAGUUUUCUCUGAGCAUUGUCCAGUCUGCAGGAAUGAAAAGCAAUGAAUGUGUCAGUUUGGACUUUGUAGUGAAUGAAUUGUUUGGUUUGUUUUGACUCUAAAUUGGAACCUACACUCUUAAUAGUAGGUUGGCUAAUGUGGUCUUCUGAAAAGACUAUUACUGACAAUAUAGUAGGAAUUGGAUUUUGAUUUAUAUGCUUCAGAUAAUUUUAAUUCUAGACAACUUCACAUCAUGUGAGUCAAGACAUUUCUAUGUUCUAUAAGUAAGAGUAAGAUAAUAUUUAUAGUGUUUACAUACAUCUGUUUUAUCUGUGUAGAGUCAUUUUUUUUAAAUUGAGGUUUAUCCAUGUAAUGUAUGUGUAGAGUGGAUUCGAUUACAUAGUCCUUAGAUACAUCUGUCAUUUGAGGGGUGUGUAAGAUUGAAUAUCUUCUAGAAUAUGGUUACCUGUUUUGUUACAAAAAAAAAAAUGACAGUAUUAAUACAUCAAUAGAAGUGAUUGUAGAUCAGGAUAUUUUUCUUAUUGUUCAUUUGUCUGGAGAGAAAAGACAAUGUAAUUUUUUUUUUGUACCUUCCAUGACAUGGAUUAAUUUCAUUUAACAAAUAAAGCACAAUAGAUCAUGAUCAUGGCUGUCAGGCACAGGUCGACAGGCCACAAUCGUGGCCCAGAUAGAUGCAUUUAAUUUAUGGGCAUUUGUUGGGGCCUCAUGUCACUCAGACACUCCAAUACCCACAGAAUGCAAGAGGACUAAUAGUUCAACUAAUGACUUUUCAAAUGAUGUAAAACUUGCCACCAUUAUAUACUAAGAAGAUAUUUUAGCUUUUUUUUUUUUUUUUUGUGUGUGCUUUGUAGUCUCAUUUUCAUAAAAUGUGCUCAGCAGUCUAGCACUUUAUGGGUUAAUGCAAAAAUAAAAUCAUGUUUAAGAGUCAGGAAUUUAAAAAAAAAAAUUUUUAUCCUCUUAUUGUAGAAAAUUUCCUUCAUUCAGAAUCUUUCUAUUUCAUGAAGUUUUAAUAUGGCAGGAAAUGUCCUAAUUUAAAAAAAUAUUUAAGACAUUUAUAAUCUAUGUUUGUAACAAUAUAUUAAGAUACAAAAAUCAUAAUUACCUACAAUUUUUUUUUCAAGGAAUAUAGAAACCCCUUAUAUUUCUACAGUUUUAAAUUUGUGUCCCAUUUCUACAAAAUAUUUUCCAUUGUUGGAGUUAAGUGCAAAGUCUUCAACAUGAGAUUCUUUUAUUAUUUCAUGUUCGAUGGAAUUUGUGUUAAGAUGUAGUAGUAAGGCUCCCACCUACUUACCUUAAUCUUAUUUGGCAGCUAUGGCUGGCUGGCAAGGAUGUUUGAACAUGUGUCAUGCUACAUUUGUUCCACUCAUUAACUCUUAAUUUCCUAUAAGGCAGUCCUGAAAUGCACAAUAUCAAAAGAAUUGUACUAACGUUAUUUACAUUCAUUUUGAAGCUGGUGAGGAAUCCUCAAAUGUAAGGGAGAAAACUGUAAUCCCUUUUGCUCUCAUUCAGUUUUGUAACAAAAUUGUUAUCAGGCUGGCUUUUAACUAAAAAUUUUCGACAGGUUGAGUUAAAAAGGCAUUAAACUUAUGCUAGUAAUCCUAAAUUUGUAGAACCAUCAUAACUCUGAAAAAAAUAAAUAUAAAAAAAUAGUGAAGACCAUAGGCAGAUUUCUGUAGAAUUUUAGGCAAUACUAUCUUAUUUGCUUUUUAUUUAUUACAAGAAUAGCUUAGUUGGUGAAUUAAAACUCAAGCUUGUGAUGCUCGUAAACUGAAAUUUAGUAAAAAAAAAAAUAUUGAAUUUAGUCACACUUUCAAAAAUUGCAAGCAAGCUGGAAAAUUUUUCUAUAGGAACAGUUUCGCUAUUUAAUUAAACAUGACUUUUGUUGAUUUGGUGGAAGCAGUCUGAUGUAUUUUUGUCAAGUAUUAGAAAACUAUUGAAUGUAUACUGUGAGGACUUGAUUGGAGUAGUUUCAUCUAUUAGAUAUAUAUCCCUUUAAGUUACUUUUAGAAUGAGAUAAUUGCUUUUCACCAUUUUUUUGGUCCAUAUGAUGUACUUGCAAAUAUAAUUUAUUCCUUAAAACAGCACAGCUUUAAAUGUUAUGUUCUUAAUUUUUAUAGGCAUAGAUUUAGUGCAAAUUAUUUUUAUGAAAAUAUUUGGAGGGAUAUGUGAAGAUAUACUUUAAAUGGGAAAUUUGUUAAUUGUUUUGAAGAGUAAUAUAGAAGAAUAAUGAAAUAAAGUUUUUGCAUAUUUGAAGAUUUUUCAUAGUUACAGUCACACUUUUUUAUGCUUUCUCCUUUGUUUUAGUAGAAAUUAACAUAAACUGGGAUAGUAUUUUUGGUUGAUUUGUUUGUAUAAGUAAAUGUUUAUGCAUUAGUUAAAAAGAAUACCUUUACAUGCAACAGUUAAAAGCAAAUUAUACUAUUAACCUACUAGCUAAUGAGGGGUCCCUUUAUUUUAGGGGCAAGGAACUUUUUUUAAUACUAGAAGUGAAUUUUUAGUGUAUUAGAACUUUUGGGAAUGAUGCAUGUUGGGAAAACUAAUGCUUUAGUCUAAAGGCUAAGAUGGUUUUUAAAAAAUUUUUUUAUUUAUUUAUUUUGCCUCUGUUUAUUUUACCCCCUUAAAUAUAGGUUUCAGAUACUUUGGCCUGGAACUAAGCAACAAUAGUCUUCAUUUGUAAUUCAUUUCAAUUUUUUUUAAAUAUUAUUAACAACAGUAAUCAGCAGGUUGAAAAUAGAAUAUAGGAGGACAAAAUGCUGCUCUGGGGUCAACUUUGCCUUUCAUUCUUUCAGAGUCAUGCACUGGAGUUGAUGUGAUAGACUUACCCCUUCCCCAAAAUUUCAGGCUUUGUGCCUAUAGUAGAAAGGGUUAUUUUUAAAAUGUAAAUUCUUAAAUUUUAUCUCUAAUUCAGCUACCUUUUUUUAAAAUUUUUUUCUUGCUACAGUUUUCUGAUAUUAUAUGGUAUCUUUCUUGAGUUUAGUGUCAUCUCGAAGAUGUUUAUUAAUUCUUAUAAGGAUAUUCAGUAAUGUAUAUCACCAGUGUUCAAAUUCCAGUUUGGUGUUCCACCACCGAGUUUUGUUUCCUUUUUCAAGCUUGGUUUGCAUUGAUGUUGAGAUUUUUCCUUACUUUUCUCUUUACAUAGUUUACUGUCAAUAAUGGAAUACACCCAAUUGUUCUUCAGUUGGGAGGCUGAACUCUUGUUUGCUAUACCAUUAUGAAAUGCAUCUUGUGAUAAACCUUGCAUUAUUGAUUAUUAAAAUAAACAAUGGCAUACAGGACUUUACAUUGGAAAACUCUGCUUGUGACUUUUACUUGGCUUAAGUGUAUCUAUCCCAUUAGUGAAGGCUAGUUUCUGUUAGCACUUUAGUAUGGAGACAUAUAUAUUGCAUAAUGUCUUUUUAAUUGGUAUGUUAUUGUUUUACUCUUUUGUUGGUUUCAGUUAUUGAACUGCAACAUCUUCAGGAGUUAAUUCAAUCAUAUUGACUGCAGUACUUUUUUUACUGGUAACUAUUUGUUGAACUGUUAAGUUACAUGCACCAUAAGCACUUGUUUUCAGACUGGUGUAAACAUAACUACUGACACACAUACAUACAUGUGUGUGUAACGGUGUACAGACACGUAUACUUUGAGAAAUAUACUGUUUACAUCUGCCAAAUUCCAUUUAAAUAGUACUAGUCAACCCAAAGGUAUACUAGAAGACACUAACUCAGUGUGACAUGCACUGGGAUUGAACCUGGAAUAUGUGGUUGUGAAGCAAAUUUUUUAGCCAUGCUGCAGUGUCUGUGCUUAUGGUAAAAAUUUUUCUGAAGAUGUACAAUUUUAACAUUGAAGAUAUUUUCUCAGGAUCACAAACCUGAAGAAGCAGCAUUAACCUUUUAACAUUCAGAUUAUUCUGUCAAAAGUAAGGCUUAUUUAUUCACACUGUUUUGAAUUAAACAUGCAUUACCUUUAGCUUUGAGAUUUUGAUGAGGUAACUGUUAAUUUUUAGAAUGAUAUUGUGUGAGGUUGGUGUGAGAGGCCAGAUCUGGCCAGUUUGAACAUAAAACAUCCGGACUAUUUUAGCCAGUUAUGGCUGGUUUAAAUACUAAAGGUUAAGCAAUAUGAUUUUGGAUUAAAAACAAUUGUUACAUUCUAGGACAUUUUUUUUUUCUAAAUAAAUAAACUCUACAUAUUUUAAAAUUGUUUGUUCGGUUAGUUUCAUCUGUUGCUACUUACUUCUUGUUUAAAACUUCAGGUCAGCUUUGAUUGAACAGAUCUAUGAUCAAAGGUGUAGUUGUUCCAAUAGUGACCAUCUCAUCUUUUCUUCAGACAUAUUAUAUCAAUAACUAUCCCAUCUAAUGUGUACUUUCUUGUAUCCUUAUGAGAUGGAAAUAAACAUAUGCGUUUUCAUUUCUUCAGCAAUGCAUUCCUUUUAUAUCUUCCUUUUCAUGAAUAUUAAGAUAACAGGGAAAUUUAUUUUGCUUUAUCCAAAUAAUUCUAAAUUAGAUAUUUGAAAAAAAUAAAUGCUACCAUGAAUUAAAAUUGAAAAAAGAAUAAUGAAAUAAUAUUGAAUAAUGUUAAGAUAAAAAAUGUCUUUAUGCCAGCAUGCUUGUUAACUGUAAGAAAGUAGCCUUAAAUUUUAGCUAUAGUUUCAGCUAUUCAUAUUAGAUUCUAUCGUGCAUGAUUUCUUUAGUAUGCAUCUGAACAGAGUAUUAGUGACUUCAAAGGUUUACUCUAGCAAUGUGUUUGUAUGUUUUGUGUCUACACAUUUAAACUGAAUAGCAUAGUGCAUUCUUAGAAUAUUACUGUACACUCUAAGAAAUUUCUUUAUCAACACGCAUAUACAUACACAUAGACACCCAAAUAUAUGCCAACCAACUCUGAAAGGUUAUCAUAAUUUCUAGUUGUGUAUAACACUGGUUCUCAAACUGAUAAAUAUUAUUUAUUACCUCCACC